CUCCUGACAAUGCAUCAGGAGGACUGUCUACUUCCAGAUAGCAGUUGACUGUGGGGAACUGAAACUGUGAAAAGGGAAACCACAGAUAAGCGGGGGUGGGGAAGACUACUGUGAUCCAUGUUCUCUACUUCUCAAGCCUGAAGUAAAAGGCUUCUCGUGAAACUCUCCGCCUGCAUCAAUGUCCGCUUUCCAGUUUUAGACUUAUCGUGAGAGUAGUUCAUGUGACAAGACAAGGAGAAAAAUGGCAAACUCAUCACCAGUGAUGCACACUCUUGAAGAUCGAAGAUCUAUCACCAAUCUACUUCCUUCUUUUUAAAUGAGAACUAACAAGUACAGAAUUUGACUUUUACAUUUUAAAGUUUAUUUUCUCCUCCUUGUAAUUCCCUUACCUAUGAGACAGCUCACUGUAGUAUGCCAGAAAUAAUGCAACAAAUGAAAAGUUAAUUAUCAAAUGGAAGGAAUGGAGGAAAAAGAGGAGAAGUGGCAGUGAACUAUGAGCCAAUGGACUACCACCUUUUAUCCAACUAUUGCUUGGAUCUAACUGAUUUAAGCAAUAUUCUUUGCUUGCCACUUUCACAAUUUAUAGGCCUCAUUGCUACAAAAUAAGCCUUCAAUUUCCAUGAAUGAUAUUAUCCACAUCUUGUUUAAGUGAACUUCAAUACAUUCACUUCUCCUGUUGUAACAUGUUUGUUAAAACUGGAGGCUCUGGUUUCAUCACAAGAUUUUACUAUGUUUAUAUUCUCUUAACCUGAACUUGUUUAUUUUUGUUACAAUAUACUUCAGCUUUCAUUAGCUGCCAGGUUAACAAUAAUCUUGCCACAAAACAAUUCACUAUUACAUAAGUAAAGCAAAGUAACAUGCCUAUGAAUGAACCAUGUCUACAACUUUAAUUAAGAGAAAAAGUAUAUCGAAGACACUGCCUUUUUAAGUGUGUCAAAGAUCCAAGUAUUUUUGAAACCUGAACAAGAAACACUAGUUUAAUCAGGCCUUGGCUCAAUCUGGUAUAAAUGUAAA